rnacentral:rRNA from 1 species
AGUGAACGCUGGCGGUAGGCCUAACACAUGCAAGUCGAACGGCAGCACAGUAAGAGCUUGCUCUUACGGGUGGCGAGUGGCGGACGGGUGAGGAAUACAUCGGAAUCUACUUUUUCGUGGGGGAUAACGUAGGGAAACUUACGCUAAUACCGCAUACGACCUACGGGUGAAAGCAGGGGAUCUUCGGACCUUGCGCGAUUGAAUGAGCCGAUGUCGGAUUAGCUAGUUGGCGGGGUAAAGGCCCACCAAGGCGACGAUCCGCAGCUGGUCUGAGAGGAUGAUCAGCCACACUGGAACUGAGACACGGCCCAGACUCCUACGGGAGGCAGCAGUGGGGAAUAUUGGACAAUGGGCGCAAGCCUGAUCCAGCCAUACCGCGUGGGUGAAGAAGGCCUUCGGGUUGUAGAGCCCUUUUGUUGGGAAAGAAAAGCAGCAGGUUAAUACCCCGCUGUUCUGACGGUACCCAAAGAAUAAGCACCGGCUAACUUCGUG